AGAGUUUGAUCCUGGCUCAGGACGAACGCUGGCGGCGCGCUUAACACAUGCAAGUCGAGCGAGAACCUGGCUUCGGCCAGGGGAAAGCGGCGAACGGGUGAGUAACACGUGGGUAAUCCACCCCCGACACUGGGAUAGCCCGAGGAAACUCGGAUUAAUACCGGAUGGCCCGGCAGCCCCUCGGGGCGGCUGGAAAAGGUAGCUUCGGCCUCCGGUCGGGGACGAGCCCGCGGCGGAUUAGCUUGUUGGUGGGGUAACGGCCCACCAAGGCGACGAUCCGUAGCUGGUCUGAGAGGACGAUCAGCCACACUGGGACUGAGACACGGCCCAGACUCCUACGGGAGGCAGCAGUGGGGAAUCUUGCGCAAUGGGCGAAAGCCUGACGCAGCGACGCCGCGUGGGGGAAGAAGGCUUUCGGGUUGUAAACCCCUUUCAGGAGGGACGAAGCUCCUCAGGUUAAUAGCCGAGAGGGUGACGGUACCUCCAGAAGAAGCCCCGGCUAACUACGUGCCAGCAGCCGCGGUAAUACGUAGGGGGCAAGCGUUGUCCGGAUUUAUUGGGCGUAAAGAGCGUGUAGGCGGCCUGGUAGGUCAGUUGUGAAAACUCGAGGCUCAACCUCGAGACGCCGAUUGAAACCAUCAGGCUAGAGUCCGGAAGAGGAGAGUGGAAUUCCCGGUGUAGCGGUGAAAUGCGCAGAUAUCGGGAAGAACACCCGUGGCUAAGGCGGCUCUCUAGUACGGUACUGACGCUGAGACGCGAAAGCGUGGGGAGCGAACAGGAUUAGAUACCCUGGUAGUCCACGCCGUAAACGAUGGGUGCUAGGUGUGGGGGGUGUCGACUCCCUCCGUGCCGAAGCUAACGCAUUAAGCACCC
rnacentral:rRNA from 1 species